CUCUCUGAAUUCCCCUGGCAGGGCUUGAUUGAUGCUGAGAAGGAGAUAACCAAACUGGCAGGGAAAAAAGCUGAGCUGCAGAAACAAAUCCUGUUGUUGCGUGAGCGUAUGGACAGUCCAGAUUAUGCUGCUAAGGUACCAACCAAAGUCCAGGAGUUGGAUGCAGCCAAGCUGAAGCAAAGUGAGACAGAACUGCAGAAGUCAGAGGAAGCUAUUGAGAAUUUCAAGAAGAUGGUCUGAAAAUACAUGGAGCUGCUCAGAUGGGCCUGUUCUCCAUUUGAGGGUUGGGAAAGAAACCUUUGAAAGCAAGACAAGAGGACCUGUUUCUGUUCAGCUGUUCUUAGUUCAUUAUAUUUUCUGUGAAGACAUUAAACUAUUUUGCUCA